UACGGGGGGGGCAAGCGUUGUUCGGAAUUACUGGGCGUAAAGGGUUCGUAGGUGGCUUGCUAAGUCAGACGUGAAAUCCCUCAGCUUAACUGGGGAACUGCGUCUGAUACUGGCGAGCUUGAGUGCAGGAGAGGAACGCAGAAUUCCAGGUGUAGCGGUGAAAUGCGUAGAUAUCAGGAGGAACACCGGUGGCGAAGGCGGGUCGCUGGGCCGUAACUGACGCUGAGGAGCGAAAGCAUGGGGAGCGAACAGG
rnacentral:rRNA from 1 species